rnacentral:rRNA from 1 species
UACGGGGGGGGCAAGCGUUGUUCGGAAUUACUGGGCGUAAAGGGCGCGUAGGCGGUUCGCUAAGUCGGAUGUGAAAACUCUGGGCUCAACCCAGAGCCUGCAUCCGAAACUGGCGGGCUAGAGUUCUGGAGGGGGUAGCGGAAUUCCUGGUGUAGCGGUGAAAUGCGUAGAUAUCAGGAGGAACACCGGUGGCGAAGGCGGCUCCCUGGACAGAAACUGACGCUGAGGCGCGAAAGCUAGGGGAGCAAACAGG